rnacentral:SRP_RNA from 1 species
GCUGGGCAUGGUGGCACAUGCCUGUAGUCCCAGCUACUUGGGAGGCUGAGGUGGGAGGAUUGCUUGAGCCUUGGAGGUCUAGACUGCAGUGAGCUGUGAUUUUGCCACUGCAUUCCAGCCUGGGGGACAGAGUGGGACCCCGUCUCAA